GUUAAUUUACUUAUUUUAUGAAUUUAAUUUUUAAACAAAAUUAUUUUUUUUGUUAAUUUUUAAUUAUGAAAAAAUUUUUUGAUUAGGUUUUAACUGUAAAGGUUUAAAUUAAAUUUAUUUGAAGGAAACUUUUUUGUUGUACCUUUUGUAUCAGGGUUAAUUAAAUUUAAAAAUUAAUUUUUUUUUCUCGAAUUUUUAGGAUUUUAAUUUUUUUUGAUUUUAAUUGUUUUAAAAAUUUUAAUUAAUUAAAUUAAGUUUCGAUAUGAAAAUCAUCUAAUUUUAUAUCUAGUUAUUUUGGAAUUAAAUUUAAUUUAGAACUUUCAAUUUUAUACAUUUUUUUUUUUAUAAAUUUUUAAGUUUAAUUUAAUUUAGGUUAAUCUAAUUUAAUUACUAUAAUUUAAGUUUUAAUAAAAUCAUGUAGGAUUAAAAUCUUUUUUCUUUAAAAGUUCGUUUUAGAUUAUUUUUUUUUCGUUUACAUUAUUUAGAUUUAUACAAAAUUUUUUUAUAAAAUUAUUUUUUUUGUUAAUAAUGAUUAAAUUAGUAAAUUUAAAUUUUAAUUUUAUGAAUUCGGCAAAUUUUAUUAUUUGACUGUUUAUCAAAAACAUUUUCUCUUGCUUUUUUAAGAGGUAAUUCCUGCUCACUGAUGAUUUAAAUAGCUGCAGUAAUUUAACUGUACAAAGGUAGCAUAAUAAUUAGUCUUUUAAUUGAGGUCUGGAAUGAAUGGAUUAACAAAAUAAUAACUUUAUUAGGUUAAAUAAAUUUUAAUUUUAUUUUUUAGUUAAAAAGCUAAAAUUUUUAAAUGGGACGAUAAGACCCUAUAGAUCUUUAAUUUUUUAGAAUUAAGGGACUUUUAGGUAAAUUAAAAAUUUAAAUUUAAAAAAUUUUAGUUGGGGUGACUAAAAAAAUUUUAAAACUUUUUUUAAUUUUAUCAUAAAUUGAUGUCUUUUUAGAUCUUAAUUAUUUAGAUUUUAAAAAUAAGAUACCUUAGGGAUAACAGCGUAGAAAUUUGGAUAGUUCAUAUUGAUAAAUUUAUUUACGACCUCGAUGUUGAAUUAAUUAUAAAUUUUAAAGCAGAAAUUAAUAAUUUGGGUCUGUUCGACCUUUAAUUAAUUACAUGAUUUGAGUUCAAACCGGCGUGAGCCAGGUUGGUUUCUAUCUAUUUAUUUAUAAAUUUAAUUAGUACGAAAGGACUCUUAAGUUUGGAAAAUUUUCU
rnacentral:rRNA from 1 species